UCGAGAAUUUUUCACAAUGGGGGAAACCCUGAUGGAGCGACGCCGCGUGGGGGAUGAAUGGCUUCGGCCCGUAAACCCCUGUCAUUUGCGAACAAACCUUUGCAUAUAAUACAUGCAAAGUUGAUAGUAGCGGAAGAGGAAGGGACGGCUAACUCUGUGCCAGCAGCCGCGGUAAUACAGAGGUCCCGAGCGUUGUUCGGAUUCACUGGGCGUAAAGGGUGCGUAGGUGGCUUGGUAAGUCUGAUGUGAAAUCUCGGAGCUCAACUCCGAAACUGCAUUGGAUACUACUGGGCUGGAGGGUCGGAAGGGGGACUGGAAUUCUCGGUGUAGCAGUGAAAUGCGUAGAUAUCGAGAGGAACACCAGUGGCGAAGGCGAGUCCCUGGACGACUCCUGACACUGAGGCACGAAAGCUAGGGGAGCAAACAGGAUUAGAUACCCGCGUAGUCC
rnacentral:rRNA from 1 species